rnacentral:rRNA from 1 species
AUGAACGCUAGCUACAGGCUUAACACAUGCAAGUCGAGGGGCAGCAUGGUCUUAGCUUGCUAAGGCCGAUGGCGACCGGCGCACGGGUGAGUAACACGUAUCCAACCUGCCGUCUACUCUUGGACAGCCUUCUGAAAGGAAGAUUAAUACAAGAUGGCAUCAUGAGUCCGCAUGUUCACAUGAUUAAAGGUAUUCCGGUAGACGAUGGGGAUGCGUUCCAUUAGAUAGUAGGCGGGGUAACGGCCCACCUAGUCUUCGAUGGAUAGGGGUUCUGAGAGGAAGGUCCCCCACAUUGGAACUGAGACACGGUCCAAACUCCUACGGGAGGCAGCAGUGAGGAAUAUUGGUCAAUGGGCGAGAGCCUGAACCAGCCAAGUAGCGUGAAGGAUGACUGCCCUAUGGGUUGUAAACUUCUUUUAUAUAGGAAUAAAGUCGGGUAUGGAUACCCGUUUGCAUGUACUUUAUGAAUAAGGAUCGGCUAACUCCGUGCCAGCAGCCGCGGUAAUACGGAGGAUCCGAGCGUUAUCCGGAUUUAUUGGGUUUAAAGGGAGCGUAGAUGGAUGUUUAAGUCAGUUGUGAAAGUUUGCGGCUCAACCGUAAAAUUGCAGUUGAUACUGGAUAUCUUGAGUGCAGUUGAGGCAGGCGGAAUUCGUGGUGUAGCGGUGAAAUGCUUAGAUAUCACGAAGAACUCCGAUUGCGAAGGCAGCCUGCUAAGCUGCAACUGACAUUGAGGCUCGAAAGUGUGGGUAUCAAACAGGAUUAGAUACCCUGGUAGUCCACACGGUAAACGAUGAAUACUCGCUGUUUGCGAUAUACGGCAAGCGGCCAAGCGAAAGCGUUAAGUAUUCCACCUGGGGAGUACGCCGGCAACGGUGAAACUCAAAGGAAUUGACGGGGGCCCGCACAAGCGGAGGAACAUGUGGUUUAAUUCGAUGAUACGCGAGGAACCUUACCCGGGCUUAAAUUGCAGAUGAAUUACGGUGAAAGCCGUAAGCCGCAAGGCAUCUGUGAAGGUGCUGCAUGGUUGUCGUCAGCUCGUGCCGUGAGGUGUCGGCUUAAGUGCCAUAACGAGCGCAACCCUUGUUGUCAGUUACUAACAGGUUCUGCUGAGGACUCUGACAAGACUGCCAUCGUAAGAUGUGAGGAAGGUGGGGAUGACGUCAAAUCAGCACGGCCCUUACGUCCGGGGCUACACACGUGUUACAAUGGGGGGUACAGAGGGCCGCUACCACGCGAGUGGAUGCCAAUCCCCAAAACCUCUCUCAGUUCGGACUGGAGUCUGCAACCCGACUCCACGAAGCUGGAUUCGCUAGUAAUCGCGCAUCAGCCACGGCGCGGUGAAUACGUUCCCGGGCCUUGUACACACCGCCCGUCAAGCCAUGGGAGCCGGGGGUACCUGAAGUGCGUAACCGCGAGGAGCGCCCUAGGGUAAAACUGGUGACUGGGGCU